ensembl:lncRNA
UUUGUCCAUUUCCAGAGCAAAUCGUUGGAGAUGUGCCCCUGCAUCACAUCCCUAACUAGCUAGUCAUUUCAAGUAGAAAGGAGGUACAUGUGAAGAAAGAACUCAGAGAAUUGUGUUUCUGUAUCUUUGUGUGUUUGUGUGUGUGUGUGUGUGUGUGUGUGUGAGAGAGAGAGAGAGAGAGAGAGAGAGAAAGACAGGAUCUUCUCUGUCAUCCAGGCUAGAGUGCAAUGGCACGAUCUAAGCUCACUGCAACCUCCGCCUCCCAGGCUUAAGCAAUUCUCGUGCCUCAGCCUCCCCAGUAACUGGGAUUACAGGCAUGUGCCACCUUGUCUGGCUAAGUUUUGUAUUUUUUAUAGAGAUGGGGUUUUGCCAUGUUGCCCAGGCUGGUCUCAAACUCCUGAGCUCAGGUGAUUCACUUGCCUCGGCCUCCAAAAGUGCUCAGAUUAUAAUAGUGAGCCACUAGGCCCAGCCCUGUUUCCAUAUCUUAAAAAUAAUAAUAAUAAUACAAAUAAAAAAGCAUGGAAAUAUGAGUUCUUCCAUUCCUUGAAACUGGGAGUGCAUUAAUUCAUUCUUUCAUUCAGCAAAUAUUUUAGGACCUACUAUGUGUCAGGCUCUUUUCUAAGGGUUGAGAAUUUGAGGCUAAAAAGCAGGGAACAAACAAAUAAAAUAAACUGGCUUCAUGGAGCUUACAAUGCAGUGAAAGAGACAGACCCAACACAUAAAUACACAACUUAAUACCAGGUAGUGGUAAGUGCUUGGAAGAAAAAUAAUGUCAGAUAAAGAAACAAGCAAAAGUGGCAUGGAACGCUUUUAUGAAUUAUGAUCUGGAAAGGACUCUCUGAGGCUGUCUCUUCCUGUCCUUAUUUUAUUCCUUAUUUCAUAUCUUUCCUUUUAUUUCCUUCAGUCAUGCAGACAUCUGAUGGACGAGUCUUCCAGGAAGAAGGAAGGACAAAUACCCUUGAUGUACACGUACUUGGCUGGCCUGAGGAAGAGCAAUGUGGAAGGUGUGGUUGGAACAAUGUGAGAGAGGAAGUUCAAGAACUAGAACUUAUGAAGCCAUGGGAAUGAUACAAAUUGGUAGAAAACAAUAACAUUCUCACAGCUGGACCAUCUGGUGGGUUAUUCAGACAUAGCUUUGUAUAUCACUGAGCGGCUGCCAUAAAGCACCAGAUGAAGAUAAGAGCUGGCGUCUACUUCUAAUUUUCCAAGGCUUAAAUUGCUUUAGUGCCUUAAGUUCUGCAAAUGAGGACUUCAUCUGCAAUGGUCUCAGCAUCUUCCAAAAUGUAAUCUUUUUAAACAAAUUAUGAUGUCAAUAGAACUUCAGGAUAAGAACCUUACAUCUUCAUUAUCAACUCUGUGCCAGUAAAGUGCAUGUGUCCUUUAAAUAAAUGUCAUAAUGUCUACCAUACGCUCUUCUGUGUAAAGAACACCUUCUGCUUUUAUUUACCUUAUUUUUAAAAGCUUUUCUUUCUUUAGCAUAGCAUAAUGGGUACAAGAAUACUUCUGAAACCAGAUUGACAGUGGAUAAAUCCUGGCUCUACCACUGACUGGCUAUGUGGCAAGUUACUCAUCCUUUCUGGGACUUGGUUUCCUAAUUUAAAAUGGGGAUAAUAAUAAUGCCCUAUAGGAUUGUUGAGAGGAAUAAGUGACUUAAUUAAGAGCUCAGCACACUGCCUGUCCCAUAGUAAACACUAUAACAAUGUUCAUCAUUGUCAAGACAAUAAUAAUAAUUAUUAUUGCUAAAUUGAAUUGGGUGUAGCGUCCCUGACUCUCCAGCUCUUUCUUGAUGGCCAGUACAAAGGUUCACACAUAAAAGCCUUCACUAAUUAACUAAUAAAGCCAUAUUUUGUUAUAUAAAUAUGAACAACAACAGCUCAUUUAUUGUGCUGCCAUUGCAUAGCUGGUACUGUUCUAGGUGCUUUCCAAAGUCAUUGGGUAUCUAUUAAGUGCCUUCUAGUGACUGAGAUAUUGGGGAUAUAACAGUGAACAAGAAGGCUUGGUUCCCAUCUAGGAAGUAGGUAUUAUUAGCAUUCUUUUGCAGGUGAGGAAAUUAAGUCUCUGUGUAUUUUUAAAACUUACUUAUUGCCACGCUGUUAGUAAGUGGCAGCUUCCCAAAGAGCUGUCUGACUCCAAAGCCUGUGUUCUACCCACUACAUUUUGCUUUCUCCCUUGGUAUAAAAUCUAGAGUCUUUGAGACUCAAUAAUGGAAGCCAAAUCUGGGACAUUUUGAGCACUGUAAAGAAUACUGUUUGUAAUGAGUUGUAAUAUGUUGAAUGAAAAAAAUUCAUGAAUUAUAAAGAGAGUGGGGUGGGAGAAAAAGCUCUUCUUUGAAGAAUGCCAACUAAUAUGUAGAAAGAAUGAUGGAAUUCAAAAAUCACUAUUUUGUAACUCCCAAUUUAAUAACUGAUUUAGGCAAGUAUUAAUCAUAAAUUCUAAAGUUAUUGGGUAAAAAUUUAUUAGAGAAUUGUUUAUUCACACAGUCUCAAAGUAUCACUCCACAGAUUACCUACUAAUUAUGCAGGGAAAAGUUACGUUAACAAUAGAUCAAAUUCAGCAUCUCUAAUAAUAACACAAGCUAGGCUGGGCACAGUGGCUCAUGCCUAUAAUCCUAGCACUUUGGGAAGCAAAGGCGGGCAGAUCACCUGAGGUCAGGAGUUCAAGACCAGCCUGGCCAAUGUGGCAAAACCCCAUCUCUACUAAAAGUACAAAAAUUAGCUGGGCAUGGUGGUAUGCGCCUGUAAUCCCAGCUACUCGGGAGGCUGAGGCAAGAGAAUCACUUGAACCUGGAAGCCGGAGGUUGUGUUGAGCCAAGAUCAUGCCAUUGCACUCCGGCCUGGGUGACAGAGUGAGACUCCAUCUCAAAAAUAAAUAAAUAAAUAAAUAACACAAGUUACCUUAGGUGAUGCGAUAAGGAAUAUACAGCAUUGUGCGUGUCACAUUCUUCUAAUAUUCUGACUCUAACCAUGAGGAACAACCAGACACAUUUGGGAUGUAGAAAAGACAUUUUACAUGACAACUGACUAGACUCUUUAAAAAAGAUAGUGUUAUGAAAAACAAAAACAAAAAGGCAAGGAGUCUAGCACAUGUUAAAACAAACUAAAGAAAUAUAACAACCAAAUGAAUGCUAAAAACUUGAUUAGAUCCUGGAUCAGGAAAAAAAAUAGUUAUAAAGGACAUUUUGGCCUAAAAUAAGAAAAUUUGAAGAUGGACUAUAUAUUAGACGAUAAUAUUGAAUUGUUAAAUUUAUUUGUUGUGAUAAUGUUAUUAUGGGGUUAUGAAGAAUAAUAUCUCAUUCUUAGGAUAUUCAUGCCAAAGUAUUUAGGAAUAAUGUGUCAUUGUGUCAUGAUGUCUGAGACCUAAUUUGAGAUACUUCAGCUCAAGAUGUGUGUGUGUAUGUGUAUGUGUGUGUGUGUGUGUGUGUGUCUGUGUGUGUGCAUGUCUAUGGAGAAAGAAGAAGGGGUAGGAUUAAGCAAGCAAAUGUGGCAAACAUUAACAAUCUAGGAAGGGUAUACAGGUGUUCUUUGUAUUAUUCUUUCAACUUUUUGUAUGUUUAAAAUUUUUCAAAAUUGAAAGUUGGGAGAAAAAUUUACUAGCACUACAGAUCUUUGCAGACUAAAUAAAUCUUGACAAUGCAAUGCCUCACUUAACAAGGCUAAGCAAAGAUGAAAUUCUUUUCUUUAGUUCCAGUGAUAGGUACCUACCUCAUAGUUUUCAGAUUUACAGGUCUUUGUGUCUGUUGAUGAACAGAGUUUAAUUAGUGUCUCUGAAUCCAAAUUUCUCAGAGGGUGAAUCUAGUUAAUCAAACUCUGUUCAAGUUCAUUCAUGUUCUGGACUAAUCACCAGUAACUAAGGUACUCAGAAUCUUUGGCAAACAUAAAUGUGUGGUGGAGCCUGUCCCUGUGAGUGGGAGGGGGAAUUGACGGUACCUGCUGACCAGACUCUGUGGAAAGGGUCUGUUACAAAGGGUGGGUCCUGUACAUUGACCUAAAGGCUGGAAAGGAGUUUGACAGGAAAGAAAGCAUAACAAAUAGACACUCAAAUAGGAAUAGCAUCUGCUUAGGCAUUAUUCUCCAGGGCAGUAUUCACCACAUUAAAAAAAAAAAAGCCACCUCAGACAUAUACAUAUUUAUUAAUAAAUUUGGCAUUUAUUCUAUUUUAUAUUGUAAAACACACACAAAGAUAGAAAUUAACAUUUAUGAGAUAAAAAUAGAUAUAAAUUGAAGUUCAUGCAUUUUCUUCCCCCAUUCCAAUGUUUUAUUCACUCCAUUUUGCAGCCACGUAAGUGGUUGCUGUUUAACACUGGAAUUCAUUUGUGAGCAUCUACAUGUAUCCUUCUAUAUCAAUACCUGAAGGAGUUUUUAUUUUAUAAAUAAAAAAUACUUGAAAUAUUUAAUUGUAUGUGUUUCAGAAGGAAUUGCACAUAGCUUUUUUGAAUGUGUUCUCCCCACCAAUGCGUUAAGCUUAUCAAUAUCUGUGCCUAUCCUCAAAAUAAGAUAGGCGCCUUAGCUUGCUUCCUUUCCAUUGGCCUCUACUUCUCUAUCUGACAUCCCCUCGAUUUUGGUAUACUAUAAUUAUACUUUUCGUUAUAGACUUUAUGAAUAUAUUACUUAUUCAUUGUCAUUGUUUAGUGAUCUUCAAACUUUUUUGGCUGUGUGCUCAUAUUAGGUUUUUAAAAAUUGAGCAAGUAUAUACAUAUACUUAAUUUUAAAUUACAUUAUAUACACUAUAGUAAUAGAUUAUAUACAUGUAAAGGUUUCACUAAUAAUUUGCUUUUAGAAUGGGGAUUGAAAAAUAAAUGUAAGUAGACAUGUUAAUUGCUUCCUAUAGCAUACCCUCUAUCAGCCAGGGUUCUCCAGAGAAACAGAACAAAUAGAACAAAUAUAGAAACAGAACAAAUAUACCCAUAUAUGUAUGUAUAUGGUAAGAGAAAAGGAGAAAAAAGAGAUUAGUUUUAAGGAAGGGAAUUGGCUCAUGUGAUUGCAGAGGCUGGCAAGUCCAAAAUCUGCAUGGUAGUCUGGUAGGCUGGAGACCUAGGGAAGAGUUGAUGUUGCAGUUUGAGUCUGAAAACAUUUUGCUAGCAGAAUUCCCUCUUCCUUGGGGGAGGUCAGUCUUUUUCUUAAGGCCACCGAUUAGAUGAGGCCCCCUCCACAUUUUGGAGGGUAAUCUGCUUUACUUAAAGUCUACUGAUUAGAAUGUUAAUUUUACAUAAAAAAAUACCUUCACAGCAACAUUUAGAUUGUUGACCAAAUAUCUGGCUACUGUCUCUUAGCCAAGUUGACCUGUAAAAUUAAUCACUUAUCACCAGAUUUUUUUAUGUUGUCCUGGCUUUCAUUUGUCACACUUUGGAGCUCAUAGGUUUGACAAAUUAUUUUGUUUAAAAGCUAUUACUAUGGUUUGAAUAUGUCUCCCCAAAUUUCAUGUGUUGGAAAUAUAAUCCCUCUGCUGUUAUGAAUAGGUUUAUGGAUUAACAAGGCCUCUUCCCUCAUGAAUGAAGAAAUGUUGCUGUCACUGGAGGGAGCUCAUUACCAUGGGAGUGGCUUUGUUAUAAAAGUGAGGUCUCUUUGGCUUUCUUGCUCUUGUCCUCUCAUCAUGUGAAUGCCUUCCGCCACAUAAUAUGUAACACAAAGGCCCUCCCCAGAUGCUGGCACCAUGCUCUUAUAAUUCUCAGCCUCCAGAACCAUGAUAUUAAAUAAACCUUUUUUCUUUAUAAUUUGCUCAGUCUGCGGUAUUCUGAUAUAGCAUCAGAUAAUGGACUAAGAAAGAAAAUUGGUAACAGAAAGGGAGUUGUUGCUAUAAGCAAUAAAUGGAAAUGCAGAAGCAACUUUGGAACUGGGAAGAUGCUAGAAGAAUUUGGGAAAUGAUAUGAUUUGGCUGUGUCUCCACCCAAAUCUCAUCUCAAAUUGUAAUCCAAAUUGUAAU